CAAUAGCGUAUAUUAAAGUUGUUGCAGUUAAAAAGCUCGUAGUUGGAUUUGUGGCGUACGGUGUGUUCCGGGCACUUGUUGUCUGAGUAACCUGCUGUUGCCAUCCUUGGGUGGAACCUGUGUGGCAUUAGGUUGUCGUGCAGGGGAUGCCCAUCAUUUACUGUGAAAAAAUUAGAGUGUUCAAAGCAGGCCUAUGCCGUUGAAUAUAUUAGCAUGGAAUAAUGAGAUAGGACUUUUUUGCUAUUUUGUUGGUUUGCGCAAAGAGGUAAUGAUUAAUAGGGACAGUUGGGGGUAUUCGUAUUCCAUUGUCAGAGGUGAAAUUCUUGGAUUUUGGAAGACGAACUACUGCGAAAGCAUUUACCAAGGAUGUUUUCAUUAA
rnacentral:rRNA from 1 species